rnacentral:rRNA from 1 species
AUUGAACGCUGGCGGCAGGCCUAACACAUGCAAGUCGAACGAGUGGCGGACGGGUGAGUAAUGUCUGGGAAACUGCCUGAUGGAGGGGGAUAACUACUGGAAACGGUAGCUAAUACCGCAUACCAUCAGAUGUGCCCAGAUGGGAUUAGAUGGUUGGUGGGGUAACGGCGCACAAAGGCGACGAUCCCUAGCUGGUCUGAGAGGAUGACCAGCGACACUGUAACGGAGACAGGGUCCAGACUCCUAGGGGAGGCAGCAGUGGGGAAUAUUGCACAAUGGGCGAAAGCCUGAUGCAGCCAUGCGGAGUGUAUGAAGAAGGCCUUCGGGUUGUAAAGUACUUUCAGCGGGGAGGCGUUACCCGCAGAAGAAGCACCGGCUAACUCCGUGCCAGCAGCCGCUGUAAUUA